AUACGGAAGGCAGCAGUGAGGAAUCUUGCGCAAUGGGCGAAAGCCUGACGCAGCGACGCCGCGUGAGUGAUGAAGGCCUUCGGGUUGUAAAGCUCUGUGGAGAGGGACGAAUAAGGGUUGGCUAACAUCCAGCUUGAUGACGGUACCUCUUUAGCAAGCACCGGCUAACUCUGUGCCAGCAGCCGCGGUAAGACAGAGGGUGCAAACGUUGUUCGGAAUUACUGGGCGUAAAGCGCGUGUAGGCUGCCUUGCAAGUCGGGUGUGAAAGCCCUGGGCUCAACCUAGGAAGUGCACUCGAAACUGCAAGGCUGGAGUCCUGGAGAGGAAGGCGGAAUUCUCGGUGUAGAGGUGAAAUUCGUAGAUAUCGAGAGGAACACCGGUGGCGAAGGCGGCCUUCUGGACAGUGACUGACGCUGAGACGCGAAAGCGUGGGGAGCAAACAGGAUUAGAUACCCGUGUAGUCCU
rnacentral:rRNA from 1 species